rnacentral:rRNA from 1 species
UACGGAGGGAGCUAGCGUUGUUCGGAAUUACUGGGCGUAAAGCGCGCGUAGGCGGCUAAUCAAGUCAGGGGUGAAAUCCCGGGGCUCAACCUCGGAACUGCCUUUGAAACUGGUUGGCUAGAAUCUUGGAGAGGUCAGUGGAAUUCCGAGUGUAGAGGUGAAAUUCGUAGAUAUUCGGAAGAACACCAGUGGCGAAGGCGACUGACUGGACAAGUAUUGACGCUGAGGUGCGAAAGCGUGGGGAGCAAACAGG